rfam:Pararhizobium polonicum strain F5.1 contig_12, whole genome shotgun sequence.
CCAGUUGGCCGGGCAGCCGCGCUCCGCUAGGACCGAAAGGUUGCGGGGGGAGGAAAGUCCGGGCUCCACGGAAAAACGGUGCCGGAUAACGUCCGGCGGGGGCGACCCCAGGGAAAGUGCCACAGAGAGAAUACCGCCUGCGUUCGCGCAGGUAAGGGUGAAAGGGUGGGGUAAGAGCCCACCGCGCGCAUGGCAACAUGGGUGGCAAGGCAAACCCCACCGGGAGCAAGACCGAAUAGGGAUGACGUGGUUCGCGCAAGCGUUCCGGCCUUUUCCGGGCCAGUCAUCCGGGUGGGUUGCAGGAGGCAGCGCGCAAGCGUUGUCCCAGAUGAAUGGCUGCCACGUUCCGGCUUUCGGGCCGGAGCCAUACAGAACCCGGCUUACAGGCCAACUGGCAAA